rnacentral:lncRNA from 1 species
AACUAUACAUAGUAGGGGCUGCGCGAACGCAAGCCCCCUCUGCCACAAAUUAUGAUGUAGGCUCUGCCACUAGGGCAGACCUUAGAACAGCAUCCCUUCCAUGUGCAAUGAAGGUCACAGUUCUAGGCCAUGAGCCUUUCUGAUCACUCAUUGACCCCAUCCAGGUAAGUAUGUUUCUCAAUGCCACAAGUAUUUCUUUUAUAGCUAAUGCUCUUUACUAAUAUAUUGAAUAUCUCAGUGUGGGACUUUUGAGUUGUAUUUAUAGUAAUGUACCUAUGCGACUACAAAGUGUAUUUCUGAUUAUGGAAAAACAUAAUACAAUAACCAAGGAUUAAAAAAUGUCAAAAUCAUUUUUGAUCCAAAUGGUUUCCGCUUGUUCAUUAAAGAAAUUAGCACAUAAGUUAAAUAUGUGGUACAAGGCUCAAUAAGGGAAGUCGAGGCCUUCUUCUUAGUUUCUUUGCUGAUCUUUCUCGUCUCUUUAGGUUGGUGAUUGAAGUCUUUGUUUCUCUAGGUCUUUUUGAGUGAUUUGUAACUUUUUGGCCGAGUCAAUACCCUUAGGAGUUUUUACGAAGUAUGCCAUGCAAAUCCCAACCUGAACAUUGAAUGUGCCCUCCGUGCUCUGCUUGAGCUACUCCUUAUGCCGAACGACUAUAAUAGCAAAGGUGUUCGAUUGUCCCUUGUCGUAAGCAGUUAUGAGAUCUGAAAUAUAACACAAAAUUUAGAUAAGUUGAAAACAUCCAAAUUAAAAUAGUAUGUAAUAAAAGGCUUACCGAACACUCUACUACAUAGAGUGUCUGAGUCAAGGUAAUUGAUGAGGUCAUGGGAAGGGACUUUGCGAGGUAACUGAUUGAUCAAGCCAACCGCCUUUAUUUCUAUUGGUGUCAUCAUAGAUUUCGCCCAAAGAGGUUACCCUUUUGGGAUGUUGGGUCUAGUAAAAAGGGAAUUUUUAUUUCAAACAAAACCUUGACCGACUGGCCUCCAUUAUUGUGACCUUUAAGAAGUUGGUCUUAAACCCUUUACAGGAAGAGGGUGAACAAAGUCUGGUCUUUCUCCGAAAUAAGAGACACUCACAACUUGUUGGAGUGCGGUCGGGUUCAAAAAAAAUAUAAGAAAGACGUUGGUGUUUGGCCCGGUCUAAGGCCUUGUAGACAACAACAAACGUCUGCAUAAAGUCCACCUGUUUAGGUGGAGUUGGAUAGGGGCCACAUUCAACUAUCACAAAACAUUCAUCUGAAACUCAAAGAACGAUAGUCGAACGGACAUGUCGCGGAAUAUUGUCGAGUAUACAUAGAAGAAGUCCAGUGCAUAACCCUCCCUCCCGUUACAAGCCUACUCAGUUCGUUUGCAAACAACAACCUUAAAACACUUAGCAUAUGUAGCCUCCCUCACCAGGUUAUUAUGGUCCCUGAAAUCCUCUAAAGACGAACCAAUGCUGAAGUAAGAAACGUAAUUCACGAUCUCAUGAAGAGCCCAACCAUAUCCAAAAAUAGGUGGCAACUUCGCACAAGACCCUAUCCACUCCCGGAUGACAUCAAUCUCCACUGCAGCUGUCGCACCCUCAUCGAUAGGAGCAACCUCAUUAUUUAUGUGCAUAGUUAUUCCUUCGUCAACCGAGGCCUUGCCCUGCUCAGUUGACCCUAGGAUAGAAGAGUCAACGGAUGACGAUGACGACUCUGAUCCACCAUCAGCAUACCUCUGGUCUCCCCUCACUACAAACUCCUCAAACGAAAAAAGUUUCACGAUCGACAUUAUCACCUUAGUACAGGAGAAUAAGUGAAAACACUUGGUCGCAAAAAGUAAGAAAAAUAGUAAGUGUGAAAAUGACAGUAACCCCACCCACUAUUUAUAGCCGAAAAAGCAGAUUUUGUAGACAAAUCUCAACCAUUGAAACCAACACGAUCGACGAUCCACGAAACACAACCUUUCGUUUUAAACGGGCGCAUGAAUCUCGAUAAUCAACGUGUCCCACUCACACCAGUUACAUUUUCUUGUGAUCGUCGGUAAUUACCCACGCGAGCAAUUGCUUUUGGACGAGCAGUGUGACAGAAUCCCUCUCACUAUAACACCGUCCUCCUUGUUUUCAACAAACCUCACAUCUCCUUGAUAAAAGAUAUGCAAAGUAUGUGUAUUGUAUAACCGUCUCAUCAACCAUGAACCAAGUGGCCAUACUGUCCUUUUGAUCCCACAUAAAACAGUUGAUUGAAUAAGAAUACGAACCUGGAUUAUUCCAAAAUUUAUAAAUACAUAUUUAUUCGAAUAAUUGAAGAAAGCCAAGUCUACUUAAAACUUGGAAACCCUUUAAGUCCCAUAAACUAAACUAAAACAAGUUCUUUUAGGAAGAACGGUAUUUUUAGACAUAAAAAACAGAAUACAACCAAGAAAACGCAGAUGUCAUCAACAUAAUUUUGUAAUAUGACUUAAUCCGUAGAAUGGAUGUUCAUAUAAAACAAAUCAGCUAAAAAGUUAAAUAUGUGGGAUAAUAAACAUUUUGAGGAAAAAUGAGUUUAUUUUAUUGUGAACGCAUUUCGUCAAAAACAUGAAAACAUCAUCAAAAUAGUAACGAAACUUACCAAAAUAAAAUUGCAUCAAAUACUUUCAGAUAGCACAAACAUUCCGAGGUUGGAAACAUUAUAUAAAAUAACAUUCUCCAUUGACCCGUCUAAUUCAAUCUAAAGGACCAAUUAAGUUCUAUUUAAUAAAAAAAGCGUUAAACUAUACAUAGUAGGGGCUGCGCGAACGCAUGCCCCCUCUGCCACAAAUUAUGAUGUAGGCUCUGCCACUAGGGCAGACCUUAGAACAGCACCCCUUCUUUGUGCAAUGAAGGUCACAGUUCUAGACCAUGAGCCUUUAUGAUCACUCAUUGACCCCAUCCAGGUAAGUAUGUUUCUCGAUGCCACAAGUAUUUCUUUUAUAGCUAAUGCUCUUUACUCAUAUACAGAAUAUGUCCAUGUGGGACUUUGAGUCGUUUUUAGUAAUUAUACUAAAAAGAUGACCAUGAACCAAGUAAUUAUACUAUCCUUUUGAUAUUACAUAAAACAGUUGGUUGAAUAGUGGUUGAACAAUAAUAGAAUUAGCACUAACAAUAAUUAUAUGAACCCAAAAAGAUUAUUACUAUUUGGACCAUUAAGAAUAAUUAUAUCAAUCUAAGAAAUCAUUACUACUUGAACCGUUAAGAAUAAUUAUAUCAACCCUAAAAAAUAUUACUAUUUGGACCAUCUGGAUUAUUUCAAAAUUUAUAAAUCCAUAUUUAUAUUUAUUCAGAUAAUUAAUUACUUAUUAGGCAUUUAUUACUAAAGCAUUCGUAUGAUGAACAUUGACUUUUAACGUUAAAGAUGCAGAAAGCCAAGUCUACCGAACAGCUGAGAGAAGACUUAGAACUUGGAAACCCUUUUAAAGUACCAUAAACUAAAAACUAAAACGAGUUCUUUUAGGAAAAACCGUAUUUUAAGACAUAAAAAACAGAAUAUAACCAAGAAAACACAGAUGUCUUCAACAUAAUUUUGUAUCUGUAGAAUGGAUGUUCAUAUAAAACAAAUAAGCAAAAAAAGUUCAAUAUGUGGGAUAAUAAACAUUUUGAGGAAAAAAGACAUUUUAUUUUAUUGUGAACAUAUUUCGACAAAAACAUGAAAACAUCAUCAAAAUAAUAAUGAAACUUACCAAAAUAAAAAUUCAUUAAAAACUUCCAGAAAAAACUGCCCAAAGAUUCUGGAGUUUGGAAUCAUUUUAGAACAUAAUAUUCUCCAUAGGCCCAUCUAAUUCUAUCUGAAGGAACAAUUAAGUUCCAUUUAAUAGAAAUCUAAUUCUAUCUGAAGGAGCAAUUAAGUUCCAUUUAAUAGAAAAAGUGUUAAACUAUACAUAAUAAGGGCUGCGCGAACGCAAGCCCUCUCUGCCACAAAUUAUGAUGUAGGCUCUGCCACUAGGNCAGACCUUAGAACAGCANCCCUUCNNUGUGCAAUGAAGGUCACAGUUCUAGNCCAUGAGCCUUUNUGAUCACUCAUUGACCCCAUCCAGGUAAGUAUGUUUCUCAAUGCCACAAGUAUUUCUUUUAUAGCUAAUGCUCUUUACUNAUAUACAGAAUAUNUCCAUGUGGGACUUUAAGUCGUUUUUACAUGAUUAUGGAAAAACAGAAUACAAUAAACAAGGACAC